rnacentral:rRNA from 1 species
AUUGAACGCUGGCGGCAGGCCUAACACCUGCAAGUCGAGCGAGCGGCGGACGGGUGUGUAAUGUAUGGGGACUGCCCGAUAGAGGGGGAUAACUACUGGAAACGGUAGCUAAUACCGCAUACUAUCGGAUAACCCAUAGGGGAUUAGCUAGUAGGUGAGGUAAUGGCUCACCUAGGCGACGAUCCCUAGCUGGUCUGAGAGGAUGAUCAGCCACAAUGAGACUAAGACACGGCCGAGACUCCUACGGAGGCAGCAGUGGGGAGUAUUGCGCAAUGGGCGCAAGCCUGAUGAAGUCAUGCGGCGUGGAUGAAGAAGGCCAUAGGGUUGUAAAGUACUUUCAGGCGGGAGGCGUGACAGACAGAAGAAGCACCGGCUAACUCCGUGCAAGCAGCCGCGGUAAUUC